AGAGUUUGAUCCUGGCUCAGGACGAACGCUGGCGGCGCGCUUAAUGCAUGCAAGUCGAACGGUGAACCCGACUUCGGUCGGUGGAUCAGUGGCAGACGGCUGAGUAACACGUAAGUAACCAACCCUUGGGUGGGGAAUAACAUUGGGAAACCAAUGCUAAUACCGCAUAGUCUUUGAAAUCAAAUGGUUUCAAUGUAAAGGCUUCGGUCGCCCGAGGACGGGCUUGCGGCUUAUCAGGUUGUUGGUGGGGUAAUGGCCUACCAAGCCUACGACGGGUAACUGGUCUGAGAGGACGAUCAGUCAGAGGGGGACUGCGACACGGCCCCCACUCCUACGGGAGGCAGCAGCAGGGAAUCUUGCGCAAUGGACGAAAGUCUGACGCAGCGACGCCGCGUGAAGGAAGAAGGCUCUAGGGUUGUAAACUUCUUUUCUGAGGGAAGAGUAAGGACGGUACCUCAGGAAUAAGCCUCGGCUAACUACGUGCCAGCAGCCGCGGUAAUACGUAGGAGGCAAGCGUUGUCCGGAUUUAUUGGGCGUAAAGGGCGUGCAGGUGGCAUAGAAAGUUUUUGUUGAAAUCUCCCGGCUUAACUGGGAGGGGUGCAAGAAUACUUCUAAGCUAGAGGGCAGUAGAGGAAAGUGGAAUUCAUGGUGUAGUGGUGAAAUGCGUAGAUAUCAUGAGGAACACCAGUGGCGAAAGCGGCUUUCUGGGCUGCACCUGACACUGAGGCGCGAAAGCAUGGGUAGCAAACCGGAUUAGAUACCCGGGUAGUCCAUGCCAUAAACGAUGGAUACUGAGUAUGGGGGGUAUCGACCCCUUCUGUGCUGAAGCUAACGCGUUAAGUAUCCCGCCUGGGAACUACGGUCGCAAGACUAAAACUCAAAGGAAUUGACGGGGCCCCGCACAAGCAGCGGAGCGUGUGGUUUAAUUCGAU
rnacentral:rRNA from 1 species